AUACUGGAUAAGACCACGACUCCCACGGGUGUUGUGCUUAAAGGUGGCCUCUUCAUGAAAGCUAUCACUAAGGGAUGAGCCUGCGUACCAUUAGCUAGUUGGUAGGGUAAUGGCCUACCAAGGCUACGAUGGUUAGCUGAUCUGAGAGGAUGAUCAGCCACACUGGAACUGAAACACGGUCCAGACUCCUACGGGAGGCAGCAGUGGGGAAUAUUGCGCAAUGGGGGAAACCCUGACGCAGCAACGCCGCGUGAGUGAUGAAGGCCUUCGGGUUGUAAAGCUCUGUCGGAAGGGACGAACCCUUUCAAUGCUAAUAUCAUUGAAAGCUGACGGUACCUUCAAAGGAAGCACCGACUAACUCCGUGCCAGCAGCCGCGGUAA
rnacentral:rRNA from 1 species